rnacentral:rRNA from 1 species
UACGGGGGGGGCAAGCGUUGUUCGGAAUUACUGGGCGUAAAGGGCUCGUAGGCGGCCAACUAAGUCAGACGUGAAAUCCCUCGGCUUAACCGGGGAACUGCGUCUGAUACUGGAUGGCUAGAGGUUGGGAGAGGGAUGCGGAAUUCCGGGUGUAGCGGUGAAAUGCGUAGAUAUCCGGAGGAACACCGGUGGCGAAGGCGGCUUCCUGGACCGACACUGACGCUGAGGCGCGAAAGCUAGGGGAGCGAACUGG